UACGUAGGGACCAAGCGUUGUUCGGAUUUACUGGGCGUAAAGGGCGCGUAGGCGGCGUGUUAAGUCAGCUGUGAAAUCUCCAAGCUUAACUUGGAACGGUCAGCUGAUACUGAUGUGCUAGAGUGCAGAAGGGGCAAUCGGAAUUCUUGGUGUAGCGGUGAAAUGCGUAGAUAUCAAGAGGAACACCUGAGGUGAAGACGGGUUGCUGGGCUGACACUGACGCUGAGGCGCGAAGGCUAGGGUAGCAAACAGG
rnacentral:rRNA from 1 species